GACGAACGCUGGCGGCGUGCUUAACACAUGCAAGUCGAACGGAAAGGCCCUGCUUUUGUGGGGUGCUCGAGUGGCGAACGGGUGAGUAACACGUGAGUAACCUGCCCUUGACUUUGGGAUAACUUCAGGAAACUGGGGCUAAUAUCGGAUAGGAGCUCCUGUUGCAUGGUGGGGGUUGGAAAGUUUCGGCGGUUGGGGAUGGAUUCGCGGCUUAUCAGCUUGUUGGUGGGGUAGUGGCUUGCCAAGUGUUUGGAGGGUAGCCGGCCUUGGAGGGUGACCGGCGACAUGGGGACUGCGGGACGGCGCAGUGGGGAACGGUGGGCAACAGGCGGGAAUAUGGCACAGUGAGCGCGAGCCUGUGGCAGCAGCGUCGCGGGUGGGAUGACGGCCUGCGGGGUGAGAACCGCUUUCGCCUGAGACGAAGCGGGUGUGACGGUAAUGGGUAAAGAAGCACCGGCUAACUACGUG
rnacentral:rRNA from 1 species